UACAGAGGGUGCAAGCGUUAAUCGGAAUUACUGGGCGUAAAGCGUGCGUAGACGGUUAUGUAAGUCGGGUGUGAAAGCCCCGGGCUCAACCUGGGAAUUGCAUUCGAGACUGCAUAGCUAGGGUGCGGAAGAGGGAAGCGGAAUUUCCGGUGUAGCGGUGAAAUGCGUAGAUAUCGGAAGGAACACCAGUGGCGAAAGCGGCUCCUGGUCCAGCACCGACGUCAGGCACGAAAGCGUGGGGAGCAAACAGGG
rnacentral:rRNA from 1 species